AGAGACACAGACUUGAUCUUGAUUUUUUGAAGCUGGAUGCGGCCCCAAGGCAGGGUUCCGGGAAGACCUGAUAAGGUCCCAAGAGUAGGAUUCCCUCCUGGGAGGGUCCCCCCUUGGACCCUCGGAGGGGCCAGCUACCUGUUUCAUAAUCACAGCAUUUCCUGAACUCGGGCCCCGAGAACCUGAGUUAGAGACAGAAUUAGAGACAGGUUCCGCCCCAGACAUCAGUGACCCCGGCCUCUCUCAAACAGGGAAUGGUCAACUCUCUUCCAGCCCCUUCCUACGCCCACCUGGUUGUGUGUGGGACCUGGGGAGAGGAUGUAUCUUGGAGGGUGUUUUGUGAGUUACUGUGUUUUCCAAGAAAAUCCUGAUAUCUCAUGAUUGCCUUCUCUUUUCCCAGUGCUGCCUGUCUCUAAAAAAAGGAUCCUGAGAGAGGAAAGAAUUUUUGUUACACAUCUAAAAGUUAAAGUCCAGCCCUGGCUUCUCUGAACUCUGCUUCUCUAGUAGAGGAAACGUGAGGAGGAUCGGCAGCCCUAAAACCAUGGCCCAGGUGCCAUUGACAUUCAGUGAUGUUGCCAUAGACUUCUCUCAGGAGGAGUGGGAAUGCCUGAACUCAGCUCAGAGGGGUCUGUACAGAGAUGUGAUGCUGGAGAACUAUACGAAUUUGGCCUCACUGGGUAAGGACAUCUUCCUGAAAUGAUGUAGAAUCUGCUACCUGGAAUAUCUGCUUUCUCUGCUGUAUAUUUUAUGCUCUAGGCCAAGAAACCAGCUAAAUUUCUGCUCCAUAUUCUCCAAGAAUGAGUUUGAGCUUUGACAGAUGGAAAUGGACACCUCCAUUGAGCACCUGAAUCUUCCCUAUCCUUCAUUACCUUCCUACCUCUCUCUGCCCCAUCCUGCAAUUGCUUCUUUUUCUAAAGGACUAAAGGUUUGAAUUCUGGAACUUUUUUAUGCAUAGCUACUGGCAAAGAAAACAAAUUUCAUGUUAUAUUUAUGUUCAGAAUGUCUCUAAAUAUUCUAUUUUAAUUGCUGGUGCACCUAUAUGGAGAGCGGGUUAUUUCUCUUUACUACAAAAAAGCCUUGGUAAUUUUUACAGUGGUGGAAUGAAUCAAGAUCAUUAUCUUUUUGAAUAUUAUUUUUUGUACUUAUAGCUGUGGAAAUGUUGGCUUGCACUGAUUUGAUAGAUUUUACUCAGAAGUGGAAGUCUUUGUUCAGUUUUUGGAAAAUACUUGAUCAUUCUCUCCUCUCUCCUGGGACUCCAGUUAUACCUAUGUUGGAUCGUUUGAGCAUAUCUCACAGUUCUAUCGUGUAUUUAUCUUCUUUUCUGUCUAUUGUUUUCUGUUGCCCUGUAUGCCAGCUCACUUAUCCUCUUCUGCUGUGAUCAGUCUGCUCCUAAAGAGGAGUUUUUCAUAUCAGAUGUUUUCUUCAGUUCUAGAAAUGCAAUUUGAUUGCCUUUUAUGACUUCCAAUUAUCUGUUGAAAUUCUUCAUUCUUUUAUUUACUUUCUUUUCACUACUGUCAUUUCAUCUGUUUUCUUAAAUAUUUUAAUCAUAGUUAUUUUGGAAUUCUAGUAUGCCUUCCUUUUUUGUAUCAUCCAUGGGUCUGCUUCUAUCAAUUCUUUUUUCCCUCUUGUUGUCCACCAUAUGGUAAUGCCUCUUCAAGUUACUAGUAAUUGUGAUUGUGUGCUGGACAUUGUGUACAAAAGAACUGAAGAGAUUCCAGGUGAUGCUAUCUUCUACCAGGGAGUAUCUACAUUUUCCCUAGUAGUCUGAUAGAAUGGCAGGGAUGUAGCUGGGUCAGUGCUGGGUUUCAGUUUUGGUUUUACUCAGCUCCCUCUUUUGCAUCGCUGUGCCUGUACCUCCAGCUGUACUCAGAAUCAGUGAGUUUCUCCAGGGGACAAGUGGUCGUAGAGCCUCAGGGCCAAUACACCAUUCUUUUUGAUUGUUGUUGCUUAUCUGUUUUGAUUUCAAGCUUCCUCUCCAAAUGGAUCUUUUGUUCCCAGGAAAAAUGCUGAAAAUUAACAAGCUAAUCAUCCAUUUGAUAAGUUAGGAAAAGAAGAGCACAGUAGACUUAAAGAAAGUAGAAGAAAGGAAAUAAUAAAGGAAAGACAAGAAAUUAAUGAAGUAAAAACCAAACAUAAGGAAGAGCAUGUCACAACCAUAAAUUUUGAUUAUCGUAAAGAACUGAUAAAAUUGGUGCAACUCUCUCAAGAUGAAUCAAGAAAAAUAUCUACGUAAGCAAAAAAGGGGACCUCUUUACAGGCCAUGAAGACUUGAAAAUUAUAAUAAUAUUUUGAUAAACAUUAUGCCAAAAACUUUGAAAAAUCAAGUGAAAUAAAUUAUUAGAAAAUUUUAAUCUACAGAAAUCUCCACUCAAGGAAAAAAACCCAGAAAAUGUGAGAAGUCUUAUAAGCACUAAAGAAACUGAAUUAGUCAUCAAGAAUCUUCCCACAAAUUGGGAGAUUCAGGCCUAGGUGGUUUGUCAUUAAAGUAUAAAUGCAACAGUUUGAACGUGCAAGAAUUUGGGGAAAAUUUUCCCCAUGAGCUCUUUUAUGUUGAGUCUAACAAAGAAUAAACUACAGAAAAGUAUGAGAUGAAUAGAAAAAUGACAACUUGAAAAUAUAGAGUAUAUGUAUAAUAGUUUUUUUUUUGGUGAGGAAGAUUGGCCCUGAGCUAACAUCUGUGCCAAUUAUCCUCUAUUUUGUAUGGGGGA